GACGAACGCUGGCGGCGUGCUUAACACAUGCAAGUCGAACGGAAAGGCCCUGCUUUUGUGGGGUGCUCGAGUGGCGAACGGGUGAGUAACACGUGAGUAACCUGCCCUUGACUUUGGGAUAACUUCAGGAAACUGGGGCUAAUACCGGAUAGGAGCUCCUGCUGCAUGGUGGGGGUUGGAAAGUUUCGGCGGUUGGGGAUGGACUCGCGGCUUAUCAGCUUGUUGGUGGGGUAGUGGCUUACCAAGGCUUUGACGGGUAGCCGGCCUGAGAGGGUGACCGGCCACAUUGGGACUGAGAUACGGCCCAGACUCCUACGGGAGGCAGCAGUGGGGAAUAUUGCACAAUGGGCGGAAGCCUGAUGCAGCAACGCCGCGUGCGGGAUGACGGCCUUCGGGUUGUAAACCGCUUUCGCCUGUGACGAAGCGUGAGUGACGGUAAUGGGUAAAGAAGCACCGGCUAACUACGUGCCAGCAGCCGCGGUGAUACGUAGGGUGCGAGCGUUGUCCGGAUUUAUUGGGCGUAAAGGGCUCGUAGGUGGUUGAUCGCGUCGGAAGUGUAAUCUUGGGGCUUAACCCUGAGCGUGCUUUCGAUACGGGUUGACUUGAGGAAGGUAGGGGAGAAUGGAAUUCCUGGUGGAGCGGUGGAAUGCGCAUAUAUCAGGAGGAACACCAGUGGCGAAGGCGGUUCUCUGGGGCUUUCCUGACGCUGAGGAGCGAAAGCGUGGGGAGCGAACAGGCUUAGAUACCCUGGUAGUCCACGCUGUAAACGGUGGGUACUAGGUGUGGGGUCCAUUCCACGGGUUCCGUGCCGUAGCUAACGCUUUAAGUACCCCGCCUGGGGAGUACGGCCGCAAGGCUAAAACUCAAAGGAAUUGACGGGGCCCCGCACAAGCGGCGGAGCAUGCGGAUUAAUUCGAUGCAACGCGUAGAACCUUACCUGGGUUUGACAUGGAUCGGGAGCGCUCAGAGAUGGGUGUGCCUCUUUUGGGGUCGGUUCACAGGUGGUGCAUGGCUGUCGUCAGCUCGUGUCGUGAGAUGUUGGGUUAAGUCCCGCAACGAGCGCAACCCUUGUUCACUGUUGCCAGCACGUUAUGGUGGGGACUCAGUGGAGACCGCCGGGGUCAGCUCGGAGGAAGGUGGGGAUGACGUCAAGUCAUCAUGCCCCUUAUGUCCAGGGCUUCACGCAUGCUACAAUGGCUGGUACAGAGAGUGGCGAGCCUGUGAGGGUGAGCGAAUCUCGGAAAGCCGGUCUCAGUUCGGAUUGGGGUCUGCAACUCGACCUCAUGAAGUCGGAGUCGCUAGUAAUCGCAGAUCAGCAACGCUGCGGUGAAUACGUUCCCGGG
rnacentral:rRNA from 1 species